UGCAAGUCGAGCGGAGUGAUGGUGCUUGCACUAUCACUUAGCGGCGGACGGGUGAGUAAUGCUUAGGAAUCUGCCUAUUAGUGGGGGACAACAUUUCGAAAGGAAUGCUAAUACCGCAUACGUCCUACGGGAGAAAGCAGGGGAUCUUCGGACCUUGCGCUAAUAGAUGAGCCUAAGUCGGAUUAGCUAGUUGGUGGGGUAAAGGCCUACCAAGGCGACGAUCUGUAGCGGGUCUGAGAGGAUGAUCCGCCACACUGGGACUGAGACACGGCCCAGACUCCUACGGGAGGCAGCAGUGGGGAAUAUUGGACAAUGGGCGCAAGCCUGAUCCAGCCAUGCCGCGUGUGUGAAGAAGGCCUUAUGGUUGUAAAGCACUUUAAGCGAGGAGGAGGCUACCCUAGUUAAUACCUAGGGAUAGUGGACGUUACUCGCAGAAUAAGCACCGGCUAACUCUGUGCCAGCAGCCGCGGUAAUACAGAGGGUGCAAGCGUUAAUCGGAUUUACUGGGCGUAAAGCGCGCGUAGGCGGCUAAUUAAGUCAAAUGUGAAAUCCCCGAGCUUAACUUGGGAAUUGCAUUCGAUACUGGUUAGCUAGAGUGUGGGAGAGGAUGGUAGAAUUCCAGGUGUAGCGGUGAAAUGCGUAGAGAUCUGGAGGAAUACCGAUGGCGAAGGCAGCCAUCUGGCCUAACACUGACGCUGAGGUGCGAAAGCAUGGGGAGCAAACAGGAUUAGAUACCCUGGUAGUCCAUGCCGUAAACGAUGUCUACUAGCCGUUGGGGCCUUUGAGGCUUUAGUGGCGCAGCUAACGCGAUAAGUAGACCGCCUGGGGAGUACGGUCGCAAGACUAAAACUCAAAUGAAUUGACGGGGGCCCGCACAAGCGGUGGAGCAUGUGGUUUAAUUCGAUGCAACGCGAAGAACCUUACCUGGCCUUGACAUAGUAAGAACUUUCCAGAGAUGGAUUGGUGCCUUCGGGAACUUACAUACAGGUGCUGCAUGGCUGUCGUCAGCUCGUGUCGUGAGAUGUUGGGUUAAGUCCCGCAACGAGCGCAACCCUUUUCCUUAUUUGCCAGCGAGUAAUGUCGGGAACUUUAAGGAUACUGCCAGUGACAAACUGGAGGAAGGCGGGGACGACGUCAAGUCAUCAUGGCCCUUACGGCCAGGGCUACACACGUGCUACAAUGGUCGGUACAAAGGGUUGCUACCUAGCGAUAGGAUGCUAAUCUCAAAAAGCCGAUCGUAGUCCCGGAUUGGAGUCUGCAACUCGACUCCAUGAAGUCGGAAUCGCUAGUAAUC
rnacentral:rRNA from 1 species